AAAGCUUUUGCUUGUUACAGUGUCUUUUUAUCUAAAUCUCAUUGGAAAGACUUAUUUGAGCUUGGACGGUUUCCUUAGGUUCCAGGGUUGAACUUCAAAACUUGGAAAAGGCGACUUAGCAAGCUCGUGCUAUUUUCCAAGUUGCAGUAUUAUGGAUCUAAAGUUCUGCCUUGUGCAAUAUAUUUUUAUCAUCCUGAUUAUGAUUAUCAGUCAUCUUCUUUGUGUCAUUAUUUUGUUCUAUUGGAUUGGCACUAUCGAUUGCUUAUUUUUGUUUUUGCUUUGGCAAUUAUCA
rnacentral:misc_RNA from 1 species